AUCUUAUCCAUUCUUCUUCCUUCUCAUCCACUUAUUUUUCCAAACCUAUUCUUCAUCUUCUUCUUUAUCUAUUCUCUUCUUCUUCUUCUCCAAAUCAAAGCUAAGGCUUCAAGGCUUUGUUUUCACUAGUUUGCAAACUUUUGGGUGGCAAAACUUCAGCUAAAGGAAAAGGUGUGGUGGAGGAUUAGAGGAAACUCAAAACCCCAGCAUUGUUAAUGUUUGGGAGUCUACCCAUAAACUGCCUAAUCUGGAGGUGACAUGGAUGACCACGAGUAUGUUUUCUUCAUGGCCUAGUGUGGAGAUUUUAUGAUAGAUAGGAGGGGAAUCUCCUAAUGUUGUGUCACUAUGCUCACCACAUAAUGGAUUCAAGCUAAGACCAAGUUGGGUCAUAUUUUAUUAAGUCAAAACAAGGCCUUGGUUGACCCAAAACUAUGCCAUGACAUUAGCUAGUUUGGGAUAGUUUUCGACAGACCCAAAUCUUUUACAAAUUUGUAUGCAUAUGCAGUAAGUACUUAUCAACUACAUAUGUUUGUUCAGAUGCUAUUUAUUAGGUUUUGAAUUGAUUUUUAUAAAUGUGUACCAUAUUUGUCAAAUUGUACUUUAUCGAUAUUAGUAUGCUUGACUUUCCAUUCACAAAGAUGGUAUACUAAACGCUUUAUAUGAAAUUUGAGUUUUUUUUUU